AGCCUCGCUGCUGCUGGCACCGAGUCAAAACGGCUGAUAAGCAUUCCCACCCCUUAUUUCAGGGGUGGAUAGUGGAGAAGAGGAAAAACAGCUGCCCCGUUUUGUACUAAACAGACGCCGAGAGGGUCCCUCCAAAAUAAGAGCUGGUCUAAAGGCAACCCAACUGGAUUUUUUACGAUUAUUCUCGAAUAUUCUCUGUUGUUAGCACACUAGCCCCCCUCCUGCCCUCCACCCGUUUGUCCUUCAAGCCCCCGCGUACCUUCCCCUCCUCUUCCCUCAAGCUCCCUGCCAUCUCAGCCACCAGCGUUUGGCUUUUUCCACUCUUGUGGCACAUUACUGUAACGCUAUUGUGCGACAACACCCUGCCUCUUUUCGCCUCGGUUUAAAAAAAACAAAAAAAAAAAAAAAAGAAAGAAAAAAAAAAACCAGGCAGCGCUCGUAGCGCGAGCGCGUCGCUCAGUAAGGGGAACGACGCACCUCGUACAAAGAGACAAGCGUUGGGAGGAGGCGUUCUGGCCGUGAGCGGCGCACGUGUUCAAACACAAGCUUUCUAUUACGCCCCAGACCUUUGAGGGCGCUGCCCCGCCGAGUCAGGGUGAGGGGUCACGACCCCCGGGUCAAAAGCGUUACAAGGGGAGGCCGGGCGAGCCCAUUGAGCGCGCUGCCGCUGUUUGCUUAAAGAAGGAGCAGCAGAAAAGCGACGAGGAGCGGCAGGAAAGCUUCUGCUGAGCACGAGCGGGCAGAGGGGGGAGUGCGGCGGACCCGGUGGCGUUCGGACCUCUCGGCGUGCGGGUCCACCUCGGCCAAGAGGGACGGACGCG